rnacentral:rRNA from 1 species
GAUGAACGCUGGCGGCGUGCCUAACACAUGCAAGUCGAACGAAGCGAUCAAGAUGAAGUUUUCGGAUGAAUUCGAGAUUGACUGAGUGGCGGACGGGUGAGUAACGCGUGGGUAACCUGCCUCAUACAGGGGGGAUAACAGUUAGAAAUGACUGCUAAUACCGCAUAAGCGCACAGUACCGCAUGGUACAGUGUGAAAAACUCCGGUGGUAUGAGAUGGACCUGCGUCUGAUUAGCUAGUUGGUGAGGUAACGGCCCACCAAGGCGACGAUCAGUAGCCGACCUGAGAGGGUGACCGGCCACAUUGGGACUGAGACACGGCCCAAAACUCCUACGGGAGGCAGCAGUGGGGAAUAUUGCACAAUGGGGGGAAACCCUGAUGCAGCGACGCCGCGUGAGUGAAGAAGUAUUUCGGAUGUAAAGCUCUAUCAGCAGGGAAGAAAAUGACGGUACCUGACUAAGAAGACCCCCGG